rnacentral:rRNA from 1 species
UACGAAGGGGGGCUAGCGUUGUUCGGAUUUACUGGGCGUAAAGCGCACGUAGGCGGAUUGUUAAGUGAGGGGUGAAAUCCCAGGGCUCAACCCUGGAACUGCCUUUCAUACUGGCAAUCUUGAGUCCGGAAGAGGUGAGUGGAACUCCUAGUGUAGAGGUGGAAUUCGUAGAUAUUAGGAAGAACACCAGUGGCGAAGGCGGCUCACUGGUCCGGUACUGACGCUGAGGUGCGAAAGCGUGGGGGAGCAAACAGG